rnacentral:rRNA from 1 species
AUGGGGAAGAGCUUCGUGCGCGUGAAGCGAAAGCUCGCGGGCGCGAAGAAAAAGCUCGUGCGCUGGAAGAAAGAGCUCAUGCGCCUGAGGAACGCCGCACCGCCGGCUCCUGCCACCCAGGCAGGGGCUACCGCCACGCCUACGGCGGCCGGCCCAGCCUCAGCCACCACAACCGUUCCGGGCAAUACAGCAAGCAGUCUUAACUCUUCUCCACAAGAUGAGGUUAAGCUUAGUCUCAGAUUACUACAUGGUGCGCCGGAAGUAAUCCUAGAGGUUGCAGGUUCGCAAGAUGAAGUUACUAGGAAGAUUGUGGAGAUAUGCUUACCUUGUAUCGGCCGCCCAAAGAGUGUCCAAGACCUCAAUGAAUUUUUGAUGAGUAAUCCUAUUGUGUGCUCUGCGCGGACGGGGUACAUUCCAGAUACAACAGCCCAGGGUAGGCUUUUGUCCCGGACCAUCAUUGCUGUUAUAUUGGAGUGUCAUUCAGAACAUAAAAGCUGGAAUGGCGCAUUGGAUUCUGACCACAUUCGGAUCAGUAAGCCUCGGGAGUCCAAGGAGAUGUUCAUGAUGAUACUGAAAGAUGGAGUGGAAUUUGAAGGGGAGGCACUGCUUAGGGCUAAGGUCAAUGACCUACGCAAAGCUGCCCUGAUCUUCAGAAGACUCUACCAGGCCAGUGGCCAUUCUCCUGUUUACGUUUUGGAGCUCAUACAAGCCCUUGAAGGAGCGACUACACACUCGGUUGCGCAGCCUGCGUUCAUGGAAUUUUUGAGGUAUCAUCCCGCGAUCAUGGCAUCCGCUGGCCGUACUAACUUUACCAAGGCGAUCAACAGAGAUCGUGAAAGGAUCCUUGUGGGACUACCAAAACCCACUAUAUGUCCAAAUGACUGGAGAGCACUUGUCAAAUUGGAAGGCCACAUGCCUAUUACGGUUGUGUACCGUUAUGGCCCUUAUGGAAGCACGGUGGGCGAGCUUAUCAGGUUUAUGCGCAAUGUUCUCGAGCAUGGUAAGGAGCAUCAAGGAGAAGAUGGCAAUGUCGACUAUUAUAAUGAGCACGAGUUGGAGCUAUACCUUGCCAAUACGUUCCAUCCGUUUCUUCCAAGCAUCAUGCGAACCCUGUUGGCCUUGGGAAAAAUGGAAGAACCCUGUGGACGCGCAGCCUGGUCUUCUUACAAAUUAUUUGUCUAA